rnacentral:rRNA from 1 species
AUUGAACGCUGGCGGCAGGCCUAACACAUGCAAGUCGAGCGGAGCGGCGGACGGGUGAGUAAUGCCUAGGAAUCUGCCUGGUAGUGGGGGACACCGUCCGGAAACGGGCGCUAAUACCGCAUACUAUCAGAUGAGCCUAGGUCGGAUAAGCUAGAUGGUGGGGUAAAGGUCUACCAAGGCGACGAUCCGUAACUAGGCUGAGAGGAUGAUCAGUCACACUGGAACUGAGACACGGUCCAGACUCCUACGGGAGGCAGCAGUGGGGAAUAUUGGACAAUGGACGAAAGCCUGAUCGAGCAAUGCCGCGUGGGUGAAGAAGGUCUUCGGAUUGUAAAACACUGUAAGUAGGGAGGCGUUACCAACAGAGUAAGCACCGGCUAACUUCGUGCCAGCAGCCGCGGUAAUUC